rnacentral:rRNA from 1 species
GGUGAUACUCCCGUCUCUGCUCCAAUUUGCGGUGUGUACGAUACGCUUUCUUUGAGUCGAGUUGUUUGGGAAUACAGCUCAAAGUAGGUGGUAAAUUCCAUCUAAAGCUAAAUAUUGGUGCGAGACCGAUAGCGAACAAGUACCGUGAGGGAAAGAUGAAAAGAACUUUGAAAAGAGAGUUAAAGAGUACCUGAAACUGUUGAAAGGGAACCGUAUCGUUUCCAGUGUUUUAUCCUAUGCAUAUUUCAUUCGUGGAGCAAUUUGCGGGUGCCCUGUGCAUGGGUGUGACGUCAGGGUCAGUUUGUAUGCUGCGGGAGAUGGUCAGUGAGGAGGUGCGUCACUUCGGUGAAAGUUAUAUCUCGCUGUCUAGUAGCCGUGGUUGAGACUGAGGUGCCUACAACAUGCCUUAAAGUUCCGUGUUGUCUCGUGUUGGUGACUGCUUUGAUAGCUUGCUAUGUCUGUGGUUUAUCAAUGCGAUUGAUGAUGCGGAUAACUUUUGCUGUUCGGGACUCUGGCCAAAUGGAGCGAUACGACCCGUCUUGAAACACGGACCAAGGAGUCUAACAUGUGUGCAAGUAUUAGGGCGUGGAAACCCAAAUGCGUAAUGAAAGUAAAUGCUGCUUAUGCAGCUGUGGUAGGAAAGGGCUGUCAAGGUCCUGGCACUAUCGACCGAUCAUGAGCCCACGGGCAAAAGAUUUGAGUAUGAGCAUAUAUGUUGGUACCCGAAAGAUGGUGAACUAUGCCUGAAUAGGGUGAAGCCAGGGGAAACUCUGGUGGAAGCUCGUAGCGAUUCUGACGUGCAAAUCGAUCGUCAAAUUUGGGUAUAGGGGCGAAAGACUAAUCGAACCAUCUAGUAGCUGGUUCCCUCCGAAAUUUCCCUCAGGAUAGCAGCAACUUUUUCCGAUAGUUUUUUGAGGUAAAGCGCCCGAUUAGA